rnacentral:rRNA from 1 species
GAUGAACGCUGGCGGCGUGCCUAACACAUGCAAGUCGAGCGAACCCUUCGGGGUGAGCGGCGGACGGGUGAGUAACGCGUGGGUAACCUGCCCUAUACACACGGAUAACGUACCGAAAGGUACGCUCCUACGGGAUAAAGUUGUUGGAUGGCAUCUUCUAACAAUCAAAGCUCCGGCGGUAUAGGAUGGACCCGCGUCUGAUUAGCUAGUUGGUGAGGUAAUGGCUCACCAAGGCGACGAUCAGUAGCCGACCUGAGAGGGUGAUCGGCCACACUGGAACUGAGACACGGUCCAGACUCCUACGGGAGGCAGCAGUGGGGAAUAUUGCACAAUGGGCGAAAGCCUGAUGCAGCAACGCCGCGUGAGCGAUGAAGGUCUUCGGAUCGUAAAGCUCUGUCCUCAAGGAAGAUAAUGACGGUACUUGAGGAGGAAGCCCCGGCUAACUACGUGCCAGCCGCCGCAGUAA